AAUGGAGUCUUACAUGACACAGCAGUUUACAGUGGAGGUGACACAACAACUGACUGACUUGAACCAGGCAGACACUGGAUGAGCCACCAGACUAUGGACAAGAACCAAAAGAAGGCUGGUGCACAAUCCACAAACUGUGGAAGGUGUGCACCGUCUGCAAAACAGUGAAGGAAACAACAGACGUAUGAACCAGAGCAAAGACUGAGCUCACCCACACUGAAGCAGUGACUGCUCA